rnacentral:rRNA from 1 species
AUUGAACGCUGGCGGAAUGCUUUACACAUGCAAGUCGAACGGUAGAGGGGCAACCCUUGAGAGUGGCGAACGGGUGAGUAAUGUAUCGGAACAUGCCCAGUCGUGGGGGAUAACGUAGCGAAAGUUACGCUAAUACCGCAUACGAUCUAUGGAUGAAAGCGGGGGAUCGCAAGACCUCGCGCGAUUGGCGUGGCCGAUAUCAGAAUAGGUAGUUGGUGGGGUAAAGGCCUACCAAGCCGACGAUCUGUAGCUGGUCUGAGAGGACGACCAGCCACACUGGGACUGAGACACGGCCCAGACUCCUACGGGAGGCAGCAGUGGGGAAUUUUGGACAAUGGGCGCAAGCCUGAUCCAGCCAUUCCGCGUGCAGGAAGAAGGCCUUCGGGUUGUAAACUGCUUUUGUACGGAACGAAACGCGCUGAGCUAAUACCUCGGCGUAAUGACGGUACCGUAAGAAUAAGCACCGGCUAACUACGUGCCAGCCGCCGCCGUAACAC